rnacentral:rRNA from 1 species
GACGGAGGGAGCAAGCGUUGUUCGGAUUUACUGGGCGUAAAGGGCGUCUAGGCGGAUCGGUCAGUCAGGUGUGAAACCCCCCGGCUCAACCGGGGACCUGCACUUGAUACUGCCGGUCUUGAGUACGGAAGAGGAAAGCGGAAUUCCUGGUGUAGCGGUGAAAUGCGUAGAUAUCAGGAAGAACACCGGUGGCGAAGGCGGCUUUCUGGUCCGAUACUGACGCUGAAGCGCGAAAGUGUGGGGAGCAAACAGG